rnacentral:rRNA from 1 species
UAAGAAGCCCCGGCUAACUACGUGCCAGCAGCCGCGGUAAUACGUAGGGGGCUAAGCGUUAUCCGGAAUUACUGGCUGUAAAGCGUGCGUAGGCGGAUACAGAUAAGUCAGAUGUAAAUGCCCACGGGCUCAACCUGGAACUCCAUUUAAACUAUUCAGAUACUAGAGUGCAGGAGAGGAAAGUGGAAUUCCUAGUGUAGACGGUGAAAUGCGUAGAUAUUAGGAGGAACACCAGUGGCGAAGGCNACUUUCUGGACUGUHMCUCACCCUGAGGCACGAAAGCGUGGGGAGCAAACAGGAUUAGAUACCCUGGUAGUCCACACUGUAAACGAUGAAUCUAGU